GAUGAAGAACGCAGCAAAAUGCGAUAAGUAAUGUGAAUUGCAGAAUUCAGUGAAUCAUCGAAUCUUUGAACGCACAUUGCGCCCGCCAGUAUUCUGGCGGGCAUGCCUGUUCGAGCGUCAUUUCAACCCUCAAGCCCUCGGGUUUGGUGUUGGGGAUCGGCGAGCCUUUCUGGCAAGCCGGCCCCGAAAUCUAGUGGCGGUCUCGCUGCAGCCUCCAUUGCGUAGUAGUAAAACCCUCGCAACUGGAACGCGGCGCGGCCAAGCCGUUAAACCCCCAACUUCUGAAUGUUGACCUCGGAUCAGGUAGGAAUACCCGCUGAACUUAAGCAUAUCAAAACGGAGGA
rnacentral:misc_RNA from 1 species